AUGUGGCUUUCACCCCUUCGGGACUUGACAACAAGGCCAGGAAACCAGGCCGAGGCUGUCAGGGAAAGCCCUUCUACUGCGGUGGACGCCCACAGGGACAAUGCGUCACCGUUUGAAGGCACCCAAUGUAUUGUGAUCAUGUUCGGCCCGGCCAAGCUCCAAACAGGCUGGAGGAAGGAGAAGAGGCAACUGUUCCUUUCUUCAGAAAGAAGGGACAGAUGGCGCGCCUUCCUUGAGAGGUACAUCGAUCUGGCCAAGGAGAAGGAGCAGCCAAAAAGCAUUCCCCUCAAAAUCUUUACCGAGGACAUCAAUAACUGUGCCUGUGUAAGUGUUUUCAGGACCAUUAACUUAAAUUCCAGGUCCCUGACUUAG
rnacentral:lncRNA from 1 species